GCGGAUUUAGCUCAGUUGGGAGAGCGCCAGACUGAAGAAAAACUUCGCUCAUUUGAAAUCUGGAGGUCGUGUGUUCGAUCCACACAAUUCGCA
rnacentral:tRNA from 1 species